CGCCUUUUGAACUAUAAAUAUAAAAGGUCCUGCCUGCCCAGUGACACUUGUUUCAACGGCCGCGGUAUCAUGACCGUGCAAAGGUAGCGUAAUCACUUGUCUUUUAAAUAAAGACCAGUAUGAAUGGCAAGACGAAACCUAACUGUCUCCUUAAGCUAAUCAAUGAAAUUGAUCUUCCCGUGCAGAAGCGGGAAUAAUAAUAUAAGACGAGAAGACCCUGUGGAGCUUCAAAAUUAAACUAACAUAUCAUUAUGCUUUAGUAUACAGUUUUGGGUUGGGGCGACCAUGAGGUAAAACACAACCCUCAAGACGAAAACUAAGAAGGACACUUCAAAUAAAUAACAAUAUAGUAAUUGACCCAACAAUUGAUCAACGAACCAAGUUACCCCAGGGAUAACAGCGCAAUCUACUCAAAGAGCCCUUAUCGACGAGCAGGUUUACGACCUCGAUGUUGGAUCAGGACUUCCAAAUAAUGUAACAAUUAUUAAAGGUUCGUUUGUUCAACGAUUAAAGUCCU
rnacentral:rRNA from 1 species